UACGUAGGUGGCAAGCGUUGUCCGGAUUUACUGGGCGUAAAGGGCGUGCAGGCGGUUUGUUAAGUGCAGGGUGAAAGCUCCCGGCUCAACUGGGAGAGGUCCUUGCAUACUGGCAGACUUGAGGGAGGCAGAGGAAAGUGGAAUUCCCGGUGUAGUGGUGAUAUGCGUAGAUAUCGGGAGGAACACCUGUGGCGAAGGCGGCUUUCUGGGCCGUUACCUGACGCUGAGGAGCGAAAGCGUGGGGAGCAAACAGG
rnacentral:rRNA from 1 species